AGCAGUAUGGCAUAGUGGUAAGGAGCAGGGCUCAUGACCCAAAGGUUGCCAGUUCAAUUCCCCGUUUAGCUUCUGCUG